rnacentral:lncRNA from 1 species
AGACACUAUUUAGAGUAAACUUGUAAAAGUAAAUUGAAACCACGAACUGAACGUUAGAAAAAUCAACAACGUUUUUUUAAUAAAAACCAAUAAUGUUUAUUUAUUGUUUUAGAAGUGUUUAGAGCAACCAGAGAACGGCUCCACAAAUAAAUACAAUAUUACCAUCAAUUCCUGGAAGAUGGUGUUUUACGGAUGGUUCGUGGAAAGAAGGUUCGAAUUUCUCAGGACAAGGUUGG